GAUGAACGCUGGCGGCGUGCCUAAUACAUGCAAGUCGAGCGAAUUGACAGAGGUGCUUGCACCUCUCGAUUUUAGCGGCGGACGGGUGAGUAACACGUGGGUAACCUACCUAUAAGACUGGGAUAACUUCGGGAAACCGGAGCUAAUACCGGAUAAUAUUUAGCUUCGCAUGAAGCAAUAGUGAAAGACGGUUCUGCUGUCACUUAUAGAUGGACCUGCGGUGUAUUAGCUAGUUGGUGAGGUAACGGCUCACCAAGGCAACGAUACAUAGCCGACCUGAGAGGGUGAUCGGCCACACUGGGACUGAGACACGGCCCAGACUCCUACGGGAGGCAGCAGUAGGGAAUCUUCCGCAAUGGACGAAAGUCUGACGGAGCAACGCCGCGUGAGUGAAGAAGGUUUUCGGAUCGUAAAACUCUGUUGUAAGGGAAGAACAAGUACGUUAGUAACUGAACGUACCUUGACGGUACCUUACCAGAAAGCCACGGCUAACUACGUGCCAGCAGCCGCCGCAGUAA
rnacentral:rRNA from 1 species